rnacentral:rRNA from 1 species
UACGAAGGGGGCUAGCGUUGUUCGGAAUCACUGGGCGUAAAGGGCGCGUAGGCGGCCUUGUAAGUCGGGGGUGAAAGCCUGUGGCUCAACCACAGAAUUGCCUUCGAUACUGCAGGGCUUGAGACCGGAAGAGGUUAGUGGAACUGCGAGUGUAGAGGUGAAAUGCGUAAAUAUCUGGAGGAACACCGGUGGCGAAGGCGACAUCCUGGACCGGUAUUGACGCUGAGGCGCGAAAGCCAGGGGAGCAAACGGG